UAUUUUAAGUACGUUCUAAAUAUUUAACGAUUUUAGAACUUUAUUAUAUAUUUAAUGUAUAUUUAAUUUUAUUUAAAUAUAUUCUAAAUAUUUUAACGGUUUGUACAAUAAAGAAUAAUUUUAGAAUUUUAAGUUAAAAAGAAUUUGAAUUACGAAAAUCGAUUGAAUUUAGAAAACGAUCAUAUUUCGGUUUUGGAUUCGAAUCCUAAAAUUAAACUCCUAACUCUAGCCCAAUUGGUGAAGCCCAAAGUAAUAAAACCCAAACUACCUACUCCCUUCCUCCUCAACUUCACGUGAAAACAAAAACCAAAAACCCUCCCCUCAUCUUCUUCCCUUGCUUCACGUGAACCCUCAACACUCCAGCCUCAGCCGCCGGCCGCCGCCACUACAAGCCGGACCACCGCCGUCGCCGCUCACGUGAACCAGAACCACCGUGCGUCGGCCACCAGCUGCGCCACCGCCACUGCUCAGCCGCGAACUUCACCUCCUCACUCCCUUCUCCUUCGCGCAAGUACUCCUCUUUGAUUCUUUCUUGCGCACAGCCAUUGUGCUGCCAACCGCACCACCGUCGAGCGCAACCACCACCUGCCCGGCUGCAUCCUGCCGUGUCACCCAGUUCUCCUGACCACCGGCCGCUGCUGCGCCUCCCUUGCCGCCGACCAACACCCUUUGAAUCUUUUUUGGCGGAGAAUUCUUUGUGGGCGAUUUUUGAAUUCGUUAAAGUGGCCUAUCAGUUUGUUUACACAAGUCUCUAAGGAUCAAUAAGCAUUGUCCAUCUGCAGGUUUAAAGAUGUUGCAUCAUUGGGAUCGGGAAUAGAGAGCUUGUAUUUAGUUUUGAUUUGCUAAGUUAACUUGGGUUUGUUAAUUGGGACUUUAAACUUGUCGUACUAUUUAUAUUUCCUUAUUUUCGUUGGAUGAUUCUUGGGGACUAAAUCUGUAAUAGAUUAUUUAUAAACCUAAAGUUAGUUUUAUGUUUUCCGCUGCAAAA